UCCUUCCAGAGAGCGAUCUUCCAAGCCAAAA
rnacentral:piRNA from 1 species